rnacentral:tRNA from 1 species
GCGCGAUUAGCUCAGUUGGCAGAGCAGGUCAUUUACACUGACAAGGUCGGGGGUUCGAGUCCCUCAUCGCGCACCA